rnacentral:lncRNA from 1 species
AUGCAAAUCAGAACUGCAGUGAGGCAGAUACGCCUCACACCUGCCAGAAUAACUAAAAAAAAAAAAAAAGAAAAAGCCCACAAGAAACAAAGCGUUGGCCAGGAUGUGGAAAAGGAACCUCGAUGCGCUGCUGGUGGGAAUACGAACCGGUGCGACCACUGUAGAAAACAGGAUGGAGGGUCCUCAAAAAAUCAAAACUGGAACUACCCCGGGGCCGUACUCACAGCCGAAUGCGAGCCGCCGGUGUGGGGGCGGCCGGCGUCCGCCCGUGGAGAGGGGGCAACCGGGCGGGGGAGCCGCGGAGGUUACUCGGCCCCAGGAAAGGAGGGAGCCGGGAGGGAGCCGGGAGGGGGCCGGGCCGUCUGCACAGUGGAUGGGGCUGGAGGACCGGACGCUGCGCCAGGUGAGUCCGAGAAAGAUGAACACCGUGAUCCUGCUGCUACGUGGGACUUAGGAAACAAAAAAGAUAAAGGGGGCAAAUUAAAAAAAAAAAAAAAGCCAGGGAUCCCUGGGUGGCGCACGGUUUGGCGCCUGCCUUUGGCCCAGGGCGCGAUCCUGGAGACCGGGGAUCGAGUCCCACGUCGGGCUCCCUGCAUGGAGCCUGCUCCUCCCUCUGCCUGGUCUCUGCGUCUCUCUCUCUCGCUUUUAGUUAAGGGCUGGGACGUUCCCACACGGAGACGAGGUCCCCUCCCGCCGCGGCCCGACGGCGGCUCACAGCUGCGGGGUCCUCCGUGCGGACGCGCCACGCCCUCGCCCGCGGCCGCCGAGCCCGGGUCCCCGACGGGGCGACCGGCCCACACCCCGCCCGCCCCCCCCACGGGGUCCCCACGGCCCUCGGCGAGGCCAGGCGCGCGGCGGCGGGAGCGGAGCUUCUGGGCGCAGACCGAGCCGGAGCCCGAGCCCGAGCCGCCGGCGAGGUCCCGUCGCGGCCGAGCUGCUUCCAGAGGCCAGGUUCGAGCGCGUCUCUCCAAGAACGUUCCAAUGCCCGGUCUCGGGCGGCGACGCGGGGGGCCGCCCCUCCCCCUCCCGCCCCGCGGCCCCCGACUCCGAGCGUGCAGCGAAGCAAGCUCUUCUCGGGGUCGGGGUCGGGGUCGGGGACGGGGACGGGGACGGGAUCGGGGACGGGGACCCCCGGCUCACGGGCCACCGCCCCCCCCCCCCCCCCGCCCGCACACACGCCGCGGCCCGGUCUGA